rnacentral:rRNA from 1 species
AUGGGGCACGCGCCGGGGGUAGCUCGCGUGCGGCGGGCGCUGCUCGCCCCGUGCGUGACGUGCCCGCUCUGCGACGGCUACUUCCGCGAGGCCAGCGCCUUCACCGAGUGCGGCCACACCUUUUGCCGGGAAUGUAUUAUGAAUAAAAUAGAUGAGGAGGAGAUCGAAGCCUGCCCAGUGUGCGAUGUUGCUCUUGGGAUCACUCCUGAAGAGAAACUCCGGGCUGAUAUAAGUAUUCAGGCUAUCAGAAAUUAUUUGUUUCCAUCUAAGGCAGAAGUAGAUGCUUUUGAGGCUCCAACUAUUACAUUGCCAGCGAAGAGAAAAGAGAGGUCCAUUUCUUCCUUGGUUGAAACCCCAAAGAUGGCAACACAAACUACUCUGACAGGACGGAGAACCAAAGUUGCAAGAAGGACUAUCACAUCCCAGACGUUUUCUCUCAGUAAAUUGCCAAAUAAAUCUGAAGACCGCGAUCAGAUGGCUGAGAAGGCCUCGGCACUAAAAUCUACCAAGAUGACAACAUCUGCAAAUAAAAAACAGAACACUGUAGAUAUUUCUGAAGAUGGAAAGAAUCGCGGGACGAUUGACAAGGAAGAGCUUGAGAAGCCCUUACGGAGUCUAGUCGUGGCAAGCGCGAAGAAAUCGCAGAAUCCAAGUUCUUGUUCCAAGGAAAGUUCAGAAGCCCUUACGGAGUUACGGAGUUUAGUCGUGGCAAGCGCGAAGAAAUCGCAGAAUCCAAGUUCUUGUCCCAAGGAAAGUAAAACAACCACAGAGCAUACUCCGAGGGAAAGCCCAGAAGCAGACUCGCAUGAUGGAAUAACAACCCAAGUCUGGUUUUCACUAGUCACUUCACCGAACCAGGUAGAAGCUAAACUGUUGCCUCAGCUAGAAAAGAAUUUCUACAGAAUCAAAGAUGGAACUAUGCGGGUAUCCUCCAUCCUGAGGCUGAUUAUGAAAAAACUUGAGCUAGCAAGUGACGAUAAGGUGGAGAUCUUAUGCCACGACGAGUCGGUGUGCCCCUCGACGACGCUGCACGGCCUACUCGAGCGGUGGCUGAGCUGCAAGCCGAAGGACGAGGUCCUGAGGCCGGUGGGUGCUCCGGCGAAUGAGUUUGUGAUGGAGCUGCGCUACCGCCGGUGCCCGGGGUCCAGGCCCCUUUGCUGCACGACGAAGAUAGCGUCCCUCCCCUGCCAUUGCAGCAACUAG